AGCGACCGCUGCCUUCGCUGCCGCCCAGGGCGCUUCCCCGCUCAGGAGCUUCCUCUGGGCCUCUGGACGGAGGCGCGCAGGGGCCCGGGAGGCGGGAACGAUGGGCCUUUCUAGGCGGUAUCAGGGCCGAUGCUCGUGGAUGCAGAGCAGUGACCAGCCCAGAACCGUACCGGCUUCCCGGGGCAGGGGCGGCCCGAGAGCGCCGCUAACGGGAGCAACGGGCCCUGCCCCCGGUGGUGUAGGGGCCACCUCGCCCCGCCCAGCCCAGCCCGAUAUUGAUGGGGGCCCACGCCUUCAUUGUUUUUUUGUUGUUGUUGUUUUUUGUUGUUUUUUGUUUGUUUGUUUUUGAGACGGAGUCUCGCUCUGUUGCCCAGGCUGCAGUGCAGUGGCGCAAUCUCGGCUCACUGCACCCUCCGCCUCCCGGGUUCAAGCGAUUCCCCUGCCCCAGCCUCCCGAGUAGCUGGGACUACAGGCGGCCGCCACCACACCUGGCUAAUUUUUGUAUUUUUAGUAGACACGAGGUUUCACCGUAUUGGCCAGGCUGGUCUCGAACUCCUGACCUUGUGAUCCGCCCGCCUCGGCCUCACAAAGUGCUGGGAUUACAGGCGUGAGCCACCACGCACGGCCCAUUUGCGUUCUAAUUUCAGGCGUUCCUCAAUCCUCUGUGGAACCAGGAAGGGCGCAAAUUAUAAAGGGACUGGCCCAGCGCCGCCUCUGGGCAGGCUUUGGGCAGCGCCUGGCCCGCUGCCGGCUUGGACCUCCCAGACCUAGGGGCCCGGUUCCUGGUGGAGGCUGCAGGGACCUCUGCCCCACCCGCCCGGGGGAGGCCCGAGGGGCUGGACUCAGACUGAGAUUGAAUGCGGCUUUGUCUUCCUAGUUCAGCCCCGGCCCACACCUGGGGCUGAGUGGAAUCGGGAGCUUCGAGGGGUCUGGACAGAGAGAUUGAUGCCAAGAAGGGGGUGGCCGAGCCAGAGGUUGAAGUGGGCUGGAUCCUGAGGCCCCCUGUUAAAGGAGAGGGCUCCCCACUCAGUGCUCCUGGAACUUUCCGAACUAGAGACUGGGACUUAUAGGAGCCUUCUAGAGGAAACUGUCGUGUUUUCACAGUGUCUGCGAGAUUAAUCUCUCAUGGCCGCUGCACAAGAACCUGGCUUUUAGCUGAACUAAGGAGAAAGUCCUACAACAGUUUGGCGUGCAACAUGGGGCUUGAGAAAGGGUUUUCAGCAGCUUCCGGAGGCCGCCUGGACUGCAGAAGGCGCCCUGGGCGUGUGUACUUCCACCUCCGCAGGCGCUGGCAUCUCCAGGCUGCUUCAGGCCGCUUUGGACCUCACCAUCGGUAGCAUCUGCGUCUUCUUGAGGUGACUGGAGCCCGUCUAUGGUUUCAGCCAUUGACUUCUGGACAUGGAAGUGUCGAGGCCAUUUUUGGCCCCUCUCAUAUCCGGGAAGGGCUCCGUGCCCAGUAGAGGUGCAGUGCAGCAGCCAGCUCGCAGCAGUGCUCCCGUAGAGCUGAUGGCAUUGGCAGGAGUGGCGGCUCAGCACAGGGAAGUUCUCCAGUGCCCAGGCCCAGGCUUGCUCUCGGUUUAGGUCCCAUGGCACGUGGGGCUCUGGACCUGCCUGCCUCCAAGACAGCUCUUCCAAGGUUGAGGGUUGGAACUCCACAGCCUCAGCCUCCCAAAGCUUGACCAGGCCCAGCCAUAGCUAGUCUAGGAAAAGAGCAAAUGGCCGUGUUUUUAUAUUUUGACUUUUGCAUUUCAAUAUUAAUUUUUUUGGUAAUGUAAUGCAUUCAAAACAUGGUCCCCCCCCCCCCAAAAAAAAAAGAAAAGAAAAAGAAAAAAGCAUGUUUCUAACCAGGGGUCCUUCAUCUUCUGCAGAUGCCAAGGGUGUCCCUGGCACAGUAAAAGUUUGGAAGCCCUGCCCUAAAGCCUCACCUCACCUGGCAGCUGGGUGUUUCAUUCAUAGCAAAUGUUCUGUAUAUUCACCAUGUACCAAACACACAUGUCACUAAUGAUACAAACACAUGUGCACUGACAUUGACCUCCUCACUGUCUUACUAUAGUCCCAUCCACAGCCACCUUAUCAGAGUCCAUGGGACUCUGACAACUUGUAAUGGGAAAAUUAACCGUGCCUGUAGGGGCCGCCUGGGUAGCGGGAGGUGGUUCAUGAGUACCAGGAAAGCUGGCCCUGGGGCAGACCUGGGCAGGGCAGAGCACAGCUUGCAGGACCUAGUACACAGUGUUGGGAAUUGAAUUUGGGUUUUGACCUUUGAAGCUGUGCAUAAAGUCUAAAACAAGAAGAGGAGUGGAGGCUGAGGUUGUAUUUGUAUUUUAAAAUGAGCAUUUGCCACACAAAGCCAGGAGCUUCAGACCAGCGUGGUUAACACAGCGAGACCCUCCUCUCUGUGAGAAAUU
rnacentral:lncRNA from 1 species